AGUGAACGCUGGCGGCAGGCCUAACACAUGCAAGUCGAACGGCAGCACGGCAGUAGCAAUACUGUGGGUGGCGAGUGGCGGACGGGUGAGGAAUACAUCGGGAUCUACCCUGUUGUGGGGGAUAACGUAGGGAAACUUACGCUAAUACCGCAUAAGAACUGAGGUUGAAAGCGGCGGACCGCAAGGCGUCGCGCGAUUGGAUGAACCGAUGUCCGAUUAGCUAGUUGGCGGGGUAAAGGCCCACCAAGGCGACGAUCGGUAGCUGGUCUGAGAGGACGACCAGCCACACUGGAACUGAGACACGGUCCAGACUCCUACGGGAGGCAGCAGUGGGGAAUCUUAGACAAUGGGCGCAAGCCUGAUCUAGCCAUGCCGCGUGAGCGAUGAAGGCCUUAGGGUUGUAAAGCUCUUUCAGUGGGGAAGAUAAUGACUGUACCCACAGUAGAAGCCCCGGCUAACUCCGUGCCAGCAGCCGCGGUAA
rnacentral:rRNA from 1 species